rnacentral:misc_RNA from 1 species
UACGUAGGGAGCAAGCGUUGUCCGGAUUUAUUGGGCGUAAAGAGCUCGUAGGCGGCUUAGCAAGUCAGGUGUGAAACCUCCAGGCUCAACCUGGAGACGCCACUUGAUACUGCUAUGGCUUGAGUUCGGUAGGGGAAGACGGAAUUCCUGGUGUAGCGGUGAAAUGCGCAGAUAUCAGGAGGAACACCGAUGGCGAAGGCAGUCUUCUGGGCCGAUACUGACGCUGAGGAGCGAAAGCGUGGGGAGCGAACAGG